rnacentral:misc_RNA from 1 species
CUUACCCACCCUUUUUUUAUUUAUUUUUUGUUGUUUUUAUUAGAUUCUGGUAGUAAUGAUAAUACUGAAAAUAACCAACCUUGUUCUCCCGUUCUAAAUAUAAUGAAUGAUCAAAAUGAACAAUCCACAUCAACUGGUUCUACAGGUAGUAAUGACAUUACUGAAAAUGUGAAAAAUAACCAACCUUGUUCUUCUAUUCUGGAUAUAACGAAUGAUCAAAAUGAACAAUCUACACCAACUGGUUCUACAGGUAGUAAUGACAUUACUGAAAAUAUGGAAAAUAAUCAACCUUGUUCUUCUAUUCUGGAUAUAACGAAUGAUCAAAAUGAACAAUCUACACCAACUGGUUCUACAGGUAGUAAUGACAUUACUGAAAAUGUGGAAAAUAACCAACCUUGUUCUUCUAUUCUGGAUAUAAUGAAUGAUCAAAAUGAACAAUCUACACCAACUGGUAAGAAUAUCAUACAAUUAUAUUAUAUUGAUACAAUUUGUAAUUUAAAUCUGAAUAUUUUCAUUUAGGUUCUACAGGUAGUAAUGACAUUACUGAAAAUGUGGAAAAUAACCAACCUUGUUCUUCUAUUCUGGAUAUAAUGAAUGAUCAAAAUGAACAAUCUACACCAACUGGUUCUACAGGUAGUAAUGACAUUACUGAAAAUGUGGAAAAUAACCAACCUUGUUCUUCUAUUCUGGAUAUAAUGAAUGAUCAAAAUGAACAAUCU